rnacentral:rRNA from 1 species
UACGGGGGGGGCAAGCGUUGUUCGGAAUUACUGGGCGUAAAGGGUUCGUAGGUGGCCUGCUAAGUCAGACGUGAAAUCCCUCAGCUUAACUGGGGAACUGCGUCUGAGACUGGCGGGCUUGAGUGCAGGAGAGGAAGGUGGAAUUCCACGUGUAGCGGUGAAAUGCGUAGAGAUGUGGAGGAACACCGAUGGCGAAGGCAGCCUUCUGGGCCAACACUGACGCUCAUGCACGAAAGCGUGGGGAGCAAACAGG